rnacentral:tRNA from 1 species
AGCUGAGUACUAUGAUGGUUUGAGUGUUGGACUGUGACUCUGGAGAUCAGGGUUCGAAUCCCUGCUCAGCCA